AGCUGAUCAUACGUGGCACCUGUCUGCCUGGGGGUGAAUUAAAGUGCAAAACAGAGCUGAGAGACUAUAAGCAUAAAAACAGAAGUCAUAUGAAAAAAAAAAAUAGUCUUUUGUACUUUUUGUAAGUGGAGGUCCUGCUUCGAUUGCUGUAUGCAUGCACCAGAUAAGUUUUCUGAGUGCAAUUAAAAUUUUGCUAUUCUGUUCUCGAGCUCUGCUGCAGGACAGGUCAUCAAAAAUAAAUCUGAAGUGAGCCAUGACAGUUUUCUUUGUGCUGUGCCAGUUUUACAGAGCGAAGCUGACUGUCUUUAAUUUGAGAGCCUUUCUGGAGCAGAAGCAAACAGAUGGGAAUCUAGGUGAGAGCCUACAAAAGCAGAAAGAAAUUACUUGUAUGGCUGAGAAAGGAAGCGUGCUGAAGAUGACUUAGCUUGUGAUCUAGCACUUAGUAAGCACGGGAACUGAAAUAAAUAGGUGUCCACCUAUCGUCUGGAAUAUGAGAAGUGCAGGAGUCACAGAAGUACUUGAGUACUCGGUGUGCGCGUUGCUGUAGUGCCAGUCCUGGCAUCCGUAGCGCUCUGCUGCCUGCUCUGAGCUAGAGAGGUGCUCCAAAGGGCAGGGAUAGCAUACGGAUUAAAAACAGGCACGCGGUUAUCCUUGGGUGGAUGGUGAGACAAUAGCUGGGUCCUUGGCCGGUAAUGCUGAGAUGACUUUCAGAUACCUAACUGACUUCUGAGAGUGCCCUGUAAUUCUCCAGGGCACGCUCUGCAAUUUCUCUCAAGCUAUUGUGAGUUUUAAUCAGAAUUACUCUUAGUAAAUAGAUGGCUAAGUAUAUGCUAUGCAACAGAAGCUUGUAUUUAGCUUGUGGUUGCAAGCAGUGCCACUCUUCUGUCUCAGAACAAAUACAGGAGCAGACUGAAGUACUCUGUGUAAUGUCAGUGUAUUGAGUCCCCGCUGAGCUGGGGCAGGCUUCUGCUGAGUUCUGUCGCAUCUAGGUCAGGUAGAGGGAUAUUUUAGACAGCCUCCUUCUUUGGAGAGAUGGAGGGAGUGACUGCAGCAGCUACACCUUCCUAUCUGAAGGCAGGCUUUGUUUUCCUGCUCACAUACGGUUGAGAUAGUCUGGUUGUAUUCUUCUCGGAUAAAGCAGGGAAAAGGAAGGUGCUUUUUUGUUAUCUGAAGGCAUUUAAUAGGGGACCUGCUUAUUACUUGACACUUCUCAAAGUUGUUCAGCAGUCGACUGCAGGAGUGUCUGAGCAUCUCACUCAGAGCAUCUCAUGUGUCGCUUCCUUCUCGGGGCCUGUCAAACACGAGAAAACUGAGUGGGAUAGGCAGAGUAAAAGUGAGUUUCUUACGAGGCUGUGACACUUUGCUUGUAGUAGGCAAGCGGUGUUUGGAGACGGUCGGAGACCUCGUCUGGUGGUGCAGAUUGUUUCUUGAUAGCACAACUGAGCAAGGCUACCUUCGGAAGUGGUGGUGAGUUCUGGCUUGCAGCCCUUGUCUCCCAUGCUUUAGGAUGCCUAAAGAAACACUGGACAACUAAAAAGGCCUCCUUUUUUCCUUUUCUUUUUUUUUUUUUAAACUGUCUGCACAUCUCUGUGCUGUGAACUCCCAACAAUCUCCAUGGUCUUUUAGCGACAAGGAAAGGGAGGAAGGCUGUACGCACCAUGUUGGCAAUCUGCCUCUUGAGCGACUUUCGAAAUACACAAUGAGUUGCGGGCCCUCUAGCUCUUCAGGAUGCUCAAAGGCAGGGUUUUUCCCAGCACCGUCCCUCAGUGGAGCAGUGGGGUGAAGGCUCUGUACGACCCCGCAGGGAAGCAAAGCUAAAGGAGCUGCUCGGAGCUGAAGCAGGCAGGAGAGGAGGCGUUUGGCAGCAUCGAGCGCAUUGUCCCGCUCAGCUUUCUAGUUAUUAAUCUAAGGAGCUGAUGUUGUUUGAAGUAAAUCCCUGCUCUGCGACUCUGAAAAGAGACUGCCAAUUACAGUAAAUGUGGUUAGCUCAGCCUCGGCCAAGGGAGGAAGGCCAGACCAGAGUGCAGAAGUGGGAGAGCCUGCCUGGCCCUUCUCAUGGACGAGUGCUUGCGUCCUGCGGCACAGAAACAGCAUCUCGUGUUUCCCUCCAGCCUGAGAUCCUCUUCAGGGAACCCCUGGCUGCUCAGAUCAACCUGUCGUUCCUGCAGCUGUUACAACACAGGAAGGUGUUCAAAAUCCUAAUCAUUUGACCAGUUCUUCUGCAGAAAGGAUACCGGGUGGCGGUGUUCCUAAUUCAUGAAAUAAUUUUCAAGGUAACCCUAAUCUUAGGGCCAUGAGAUGUUUUGUAUCAUUAAAUUUCUGGACAGUGUUGAAGAACUGGAACAGGAGACCAGUUUAUUUUCGAUAACUGAAGACAAACCUUAAAGCAAGCAUCUGCAACUAAUUCCUGGCUUUCCUCAUAGAAACUCUGAAGAAAAUGUGCUCUUUGCAUCAAAAUGUAUUGAUGUUGAUGUGAAUGUUAACUGUUAACCUUACUUGCUUUAACUAUAAGGUUUUAUUAAUCUUGGUUUUGUUAAGUAAAAGGAAAAGAUGCAAUUCUGCAAGGUUAUUUUCUUUAGCAUGGCCUGCUUCAUAACUUCAUGAAAUGAGUUGGUCAAAGCUGAAAUGAAUUUGCUAUCUGUUGCCCAAAUCAUGCAUGUUGGCCAGCCUCCUCUUCAGUUAAUCUAAAAUAACUCCCAAAUACAAAUAGUCCCUGCAAGUGUUCCUUUUUGUUGCUCUGUGUUAAUUAUCUUAGCUUUUGGAGUCUUCUCUUUUUUUUUUUUUCCCACACAGUCUGCUUCUGCAACCUAGUCAGUUGUGUCUUGAUUUUUUUUUUUCAUGCCUUCAAUGAAGGGAAACUCUUUAAGGUAUUCUUCAUGUAUCGAGAAGAAGCAAAAAGGGAACCACCAUGUGUCUUAAAGAUGAGCUGCAGACACCUGUGAGUUACCUGUGUGGAGCUUGAGAGGGGAGGAAGAGGAGGCAGGAGGAGGACCUGAACGAUGCUAGGUGUGGGACUUCAUUCAGCAUUACUGAAAUCAAAGUGUGUUCAAGAGAUGUAGGGCCAGAGCAGCUACUUCCUUUUUAAAGGCUGAGCUUCACAUGCAGUCAAAUUUUUAUUUAAGAUGAAGUUAAUAAGCUGAAAACCAUUUGGACUGCCUCAGACCCUGGACAAAACUGAUAGCCAAGUUGCACAAUUCUUGUGCGCAGUUAAACUUCUGUAACACCUGGUCUGAUACUUCCCCAAAAGUGAUUCACUGGAAGAGGAGUGGAAAGCUGAAGCACAUCUUGUUUUUUUCUAAACGUGGAGGAGAGCAAACUACCUCUAUACUACAGUCCAAUCUGUUAAAUGGAAGUUAUUUAAGAACCCUUCUCCACGACAUAGUAUUUAGGGCUGGAUUUAUUUGUUUAUAAGGUGAUAUUUACACUUGAGACUGAGCUGUGUGCUUGUGUGUCCAGCUUGUGUGGUCAAGUGCAAGGGCAGUCCAGGGGCAUACUGGGCAGGAACCUUUUGCUUAUUAACCUUGCAAGCCUUAAGUAGGUAAGGUGAAUUGUUAAGACAUUGUAAGACACAGUCGGUAACCCUCCUCUCAUCUUUCAUUAUGAAACUGCUUACAAGAUAAUGUUCCAAAAGCUUGAUGUCCUUAAAAAAGAUGACCCAUAAAACAUACCCUGCCUAGUUUCUCGUUGGUUAUUGCAGACAACGUUGUUAAAGGAUUUUCUCAGGGUUGGAAAAGUAUGUAAAUUAAUACAGCAAAAUCUCAAUUCUUGUGCUCCUGCAGUUAUAUAGUUAGUGUGUAUGUAUAAGGGUGGAUCAGACUGGCUUUCUGUCACCCUUCUGACUUGUUUUAAAUGGAGAAUUGAUGGUGAACAUGGCGUUCUUAACCACGUUGCGCUGUUAUUUAUGCAUAUGGUUCAGUUGUGUAUGUGUUCGGGAAGUGCUCUGUGUCUUCAUGGAUGCCACCAUGAGCAGCAUCAGAAACGUGAGUUCUUUGCGAGUACGAAUUCAUCCUCAGAGUUCUUGCCCGUGUUAUUACCAGUCCACAGAUGAAUUUCUGAAGUCAUUUAACAUCAUCAGUCCUCACUGAAUAGAAGCACCCAAGUCGAGUUGCCUUGGACUUGUGUUCUUAACAUGCUGUGAAAUGCUUUGCUACAAACCCAACUUCUUGCUGACACUAGUUAUUUGGGAAUAUGCCGUGCUUCUAGAAAUCGGUGCCAAAUUGUCAUCUUAGCACUUGGUGGAGCAUAAGAGACUGUGUAGUAGUCCUGUGGCAUCGAGCAGGAACACUGGAAGAGGCAAAAAUAGCUGACUGUCAUGCUAGAGAAUUGCUCUUCCGUCUUUCUCAUAAAUCUCAUCUGAUUUAUGCAGCAGAUUAGGAGAUAUCUCGCCGAAGAGGCAAGAGGCAUCCUGUUACUUGAUUAUACAUCAUUCUGGGCUUUGAAUAAGUUUGGAGACCAGCAGGGGAAAGCUUGUGAUCCCACAAUAAAUCUAGGCACUCAUAACUUUCGUUCUAACUAGAUGCUUGAUUUUUCACAUGCUCUUACUUUUGGUGCAGAAUUUUCUGCUUGCUUUUUAUACUGGAGAGAAACAAGCAUUUCUGAAUCACACUCAUUUGUUCAUUGCAUGCUCUUUCAGUUUGUUACCUUUUCACCUUGCUUUAUGUUUGAGUAUGCCCCUUGCUUUUUUUUUUUUUUUUUGUAUGAUGCUCUUUCCUUUUCUGAUCUCCCUAAACCUUUUAUUUCAGGAAACGCCCUGAGCUAUAUUGAGGUUCAGCCAGAGAUCUUGCAUAGAAAACCAAAGUGUGGUGGCUGAAGUUCUGCAAAAACGGAGUAGCUGAAAGUGCAGUUCUACAAUAAAGUGCUUUAGGCCACUGUAUGUGCGAGUGUUUGGCAUCUUUUUGAUCUGUGUUGCUUUUCAUCAAAUUCCUAAAAGAAUCUCAGAAGAGAAAUGCUGUGGCUAUGUGAGCAGGAAUUAGAGUGAGGAAAUGGAGUACUACGUGUGAAGCCGUCAAUGAAAAGAGCGAGUAUGUUGUACAGUUUGUUUCUUGACAAACAAAGAUACAAGAAGUCCUGAAGCUGCCUUUUCCUUUUCUGCUAGGAAUCUGGGUCCUGCCUAGCCAGCAUGUUAACGAAGAAGCAACAUUACAUGCACGUUAGUUUGGACUUACUUAACUACAGCAGGCAAUAAGUAUAGCCUUGCUCACUGGAAGUAAAUCCUGCUCCUAACUAGAGGCAAGAUCUUAAGAUACAGUUUGCAAAUAUGUAUUUUUUUCAAAUUUCUCGAGUUGAAAAUAUUUGUAGUCUCAAAUCAUGUAAUUCUUCCUUAGUUAACUGCGUGCAGAGUGCUUUUUAGAAAUGAAAUUCUGUGCUGUACGUUUCAUAAAGGAAAGCCAAAACCUCUUUUGGAAGUUGAAUGCUGAACCUGCUGUGACAGUAGACGUGAAGGUAUUGAGGGCGAUUUAUCUCUUGCAUCAUGCGUGAAUACAAGCUAGUGGUUCUUGGUUCUGGAGGUGUUGGAAAGUCUGCUCUGACUGUACAGUUUGUUCAAGGAAUAUUUGUUGAAAAAUACGAUCCUACGAUAGAAGAUUCCUACAGAAAGCAAGUUGAAGUAGAUGCACAACAGUGUAUGCUUGAAAUCUUAGAUACUGCAGGAACGGAACAGUUUACAGCAAUGAGAGACCUAUACAUGAAAAAUGGACAAGGUUUUGCAUUAGUAUAUUCCAUCACAGCACAGUCCACGUUUAAUGAUUUGCAGGAUCUAAGAGAACAGAUUCUUCGAGUCAAAGACACUGAUGAUGUGCCUAUGAUUCUGGUUGGCAAUAAGUGUGACUUGGAAGAUGAAAGAGUUGUGGGAAAGGAACAAGGUCAGAACUUAGCAAGGCAAUGGAAUAAUUGUGCAUUCUUAGAGUCUUCUGCAAAAUCAAAGAUAAAUGUUAAUGAGGUAAGGCACAACACCUAUGGGACAGGAGGGUGGCAACGAAAUGAGAACAGGACACAGUGUUUUGAUAAACAUUACCAUUUGUCAAGAAAAAAAUGUUAUUCAUAAUUCUGUUUUUAUAAUGGACGACUGUACACUAUUAAUAUGAGAAUCUGUGAAAUAUUUAUAUUAGGGAUUUAUAUUAGGGAAAUAUUUAUAUUAGGGAUAUAUUAGGAAAUAUUUAUAUUAGGGAUCUAGCUUUGUCUUGAGACUUUUUCAAAUUAUGUUUAAUUUUAGUAUAACUAGUCUUUAAAUUAUAUGAAUUUGGUAUAAAUAUUUCUGUUUGGUUCAGGCUUUUCAUGCUACCUUCCCUACUUGAUACAAGCCCUAUCCAUUGACUUGACUAUCCAUUUCUCAGAAAGAUCUGUAAGAUCCUAAAACUAUUGGAUUUAAGCUAUUUGUUAUUGAACUACUUGAGAUGGUAGGGACAAAAGCUCAUGGGCUUUGUCAAAAUUAGUAGCUGGUUGGAGAAGAGACCUAAAUAGGUGCUCUGCAAGAAAAAAGGAAGGCAAAGCCCCUCUAGUAUCUAGCUACUUACUUAUUCAGCAGGAUCUAGGUGUCGUAGUAAAACACAUGCACUUUUAGGACUUGCCAUAGUUCAUGUCGUCUUAUCCAGUGGGAGUGCAAGCAUAAAGAAACAGAUGCAAAAAAUGCUUAGAAAAAGAGGCUGUGUUAAUAUUUACAUACCUGAAACAGCUUGAAUUUUAUGAUAAACCCUGCAGUUCAUUGCAUCUUCUGGAAAACAUUAUUGGCAGUAUCAUUCAAGUUGAAAGGACCUUCGUGCAAGACUUGCUUGUAAUCAAAUGAGUGUGGUGUGUUUAAGCACAGCUCAUUUUAAAAAUGGGUAAUGUUUGUUUAAUUAGUUGGGAUUUUUCUGGAAACUACUCAGUUUUUCUUAAAAAUCAAUUUGCUUAACUGUGUAGAAGUCAUGUGGUUAAUAAACGGGAGCUUAUUUCCAUCAAACACUAAAAGCCUCUGUUGGAAGGUGUGCUGCUUUGCAACCAGUGCUCUAGGAAUCUGCUCGGAUGGCUUUAGUAUGAGGACUUAAUUUAAGAGACGCAGAAAUAAUUGGAACAAUGUCAAUUAUGAACAAAACAGACGCUGUUUAAUUGUACUGCUUAUAAGUGUCUUAAAUUAGCCUUUCCGCAAGACUAUAGUCUAAUUAAAAUUCUAGGAGACUCAAAGUGUGAGUCUUAUGCUUUAUUUUUCUAGGAAACAUUUUGCUUGUGUCGUGCUGUAGUCCUAUAGAGGCUACUGACUGACUUUAGUACUUUUUAAAGUAUCCGGAAAAGCACGAUCUUACUCAAAGACUAGAGACUAUUACUGUAUAUACUCUUUACUUCAGUUACAAUGCAAAUGUGUAGUAGUUAAAACUUACCAGAACCUUCUUCAAAAGAGUGUCCUUACAGCGAGUGAUUUGAGUUAAAGGAAAGCUAUGUCAUGUUCCUUGACCUCAGUGUGAAAAUCCAAAUAGCAUAUACUAGUUGAUCAUGGUGGCAUAUAUCAUGCGUUUUCAGAUAAAUUUGGCCCAGAGUUUAAAUGUGUUCAGAUUAUAGCUGUCAUUCCAGUUUGCUUUAUUGAAACUGGAAAACCCUUGGCAGACAAUUAUCUUAAGAAAUAGAAAAUAAACAGGUGUUAAGUAUACAGUUUCACUUUCCAUCUUGUGUUAACUAAAUAUUUGCAGAGGUUCAUAGAGUCAUAGAAUGGCUCGGGUUGGAAGGGCCCUUAAAGCCCACCCAGCUCCACCCCCCUGCCAUGGGCAGGGACACCUCCCACCAGACCAGGUUGCCCAAAGCCCCAUCCAGCCUGGCCUUGAGCACUCCCAGGGAUGGGGCAUCCACAGCUGCUCUGGGCAGCCUGUGCCAGGGCCUCACCACCCGCUGAGUGAAAAAAGGUUCUUGAGUAUCUGAAAACAGCGUGAAGACUGAAGGGUUAAGGUUAUGAGAGAAGCUUCUGAAUUCCAAUAAGUAAUCGACUUUUAUAUUCACAGAUCUUUUAUGACCUUGUGCGACAAAUUAACAGAAAAACUCCAGUGCCUGGAAAAGCACGCAAAAAGUCGUCAUGUCAGCUACUUUAAUGCAUAGCUGUACUGUAGCUCUGAGCCAGGUCUGAAGAACUGUUGCCCAAUUCAACAGUGCCAGCAUUCCAACUUUAUUAAACCUACCAACAUCUUAAAUGGACUUUCCUGUGGUGGUACCCUUUGAGAAAUGGAUGAAAGCUACUACAUCAGUUUGCACAUUCUAAUCACUUUCCGGUGUCACGAGAGAUUUUUACUUAUAAAUAUUCUAAGUGUAUGCAACUGGUAAAACCAGAGCCUACAUCCAGUAUUACUGAUAAGAGACAUUGUUCAUCCACCAAUGUUGUACAUGUAUGAAAACUGUGUACUGUAUACUUCAACAAUCCCCACUUUCUAUUGGAGAGUACAAUAAUGUAAAUCCUAAAAGCACCACUAUUUUAGCAUAAUAAAAGAAAGUCCAAAGAGCUCCUAUAUAGACUACUCCAGAUAACUUUGCUUCAUCGGUAUUUGUAGCUUAUUGUAACUUUUUUAAAGAAAUACAGGAUCAUCAUCAUUGUAUUGUACAAAAGCGCUUUGAUUAACACAACAGCUAUAUAGUUUUUUAAUUUUAGGAAAAACCUGUGGAGACAGUGACCUAGUCUUUAAGAGUCCUUUCAGUAUAACGUCUGACUAAAGACAUGGCCUUUAAUAUCUGUUGGGAAGGAAAUGUCCAGACUUUUCAACCUUUUAUUGUAUGUUUCCUUUUCCUUGUUUACAUAGGGAACAAUGUUUAUAGUUGUGUGUACAGUGGGGGUCUACAACAAGAAGUGUAUAUUUUAAAACGAUUUUUUAAUGAUUUAACAAUUUUUUGUAAAUCAUUUUCGGGCUUCUGCAGCUGUAGAUUCUCACUGUGAAUUCCCUUGCUUGCUCAUGCAUAAGUGUAUUUGCAAUACCAAAUAUACAGGUUUAGUACUUUUGCCUGUUAGUGAUUGUUUUACAUGUGUAACGUUUUGGUUGAGAUGUUAAAUGGUGGAAGAGUACUGUGGAUGUGAAUGUGGGAAGUAAUUUUAAUCAUGUGUAAUUGGUCACAGGGCCUAAGUUGCAGUAAUUAACUUUUGCUGAUUUAUUUAACAAUGCCUUGUUGCUUUGUAUGCAUUAACGUUUGGGUGUAAAGAUUGUGUGUAUAUCCAACAGGGAGCCACAGUAUUUAAAUUGACCAACCUGAUGUUACAACUGCUUUGAGGUGGCCAAAUGUAAACUAAAAGCCUUAAUUAAAGUGGUGCAAUUUUGUAUGACUUAGCAUCAGUAGUUCAAUAAAUUUGGAUUGCCAUGCAA